GUUUUACGUCAAGCAAUACGUAGAGUAACUCCCAAUAUAGGAGUAAAAACAAGAUGUAAUAAAAAAGGAUCGACGCGGAAAGUUCCGAUUGAAAUAGGAUCUAAACAAGGAAGAGCACUUGCCAUUCGUUGGUUAUUAGAAGCAUCCCAAAAGCGUCCGGGUCGAAAUAUGGCUUUCAAAUUAAGUUCCGAAUUAGGCAAAAAUUAG
rnacentral:rRNA from 1 species